rnacentral:rRNA from 1 species
AUUGAACGCUGGCGGCAGGCCUAACACAUGCAAGUCGAACGGUAGCACAGAGAGCUUGCUCUCGGGUGACGAGUGGCGGACGGGUGAGUAAUGUCUGGGAAACUGCCUGAUGGAGGGGGAUAACUACUGGAAACGGUAGCUAAUACCGCAUAACGUCGCAAGACCAAAAGAGGGGGGACCUUCGGGUCCGUCCUUGCCAUCAGAUGUGCCCAGAUGGGAUUAGCUAG